rnacentral:misc_RNA from 1 species
AACGCACAUUGCACUUCCGGGAUAUGCCCGGGAGUAUGCUUAUUUGAGUGUCCGCAAACCCCACUCAACCAAAAUAUCUUGUAAAAUGUAUUUUGUGUUGGACUCUGGGAUUGGGAGAAUGAAUGUGCACUACUAGUAGUGUACGGUUAGUCUCCCUCUCCUGAAAUGCAGGGCUUUGCGAGAUGAUACACCAAACGCAAUAUGACGCCCGCUAGGUAAUGUUGUUGUAAUGACAGCUUUAAUAUUUGCGCGGUGGAAUGUCGCGGUCGUCUCGAAAUGGCAAAUCGUUUACAACAAUAAUCAGUUGUAAACACAUAAAACCUCCAAUCGGAUCUCAAAUUAAGUAAGAAGACCUGCCGAAUUUAA